UUUGAUUGAUUUUAUCAUUUGAUACUUUAUCCAUCAUCAAAUUACAUCAAGAAACUACCACCACUAUUGAGUGAUAGGAAACAAAAAAAUAUCGUAUACGAACAACUAUAGUGAAUCCAACUAAUUCAUUCAUUCAUUCAUUCCGACAACAAACUAUCAACAAAGUUUUGAAUUGGUUGAUUGAUUGUGUAUAUUCUUACCAAGUCUUUUUUUUCUUCUUUCUCUCUUCCUCACUAAUAUCUCUCUGUAUCUUUUGCGUUUGUAUUAGUGUAUACUUCAGGAGUGUUCAACAAGUGAGCAAAAAAAAAGAAAAAAAA